AGCCUCACCACUCUUCAAACUUGUGGAUGAGCCAUGGCUGAAGUCAGAGGCUGGUACAUUUUAACCCCCUAGCAGCAGCUUGCUGGUCCCCAGAGCAGCCUCCAAAGAUGCAGGCCUGUGAAUGGAGCCUUCACAAGGCCUCUCUCAAGAAGAGAACUCACAGUAUGGUGGAACCACAUGUUCUUCUAAGGAAGAAUUUUUUGUUUUCAUUUCAAACAACUCUGGUUGGUGACGAGUGGCCAGAAGAGGUGCUCUGUUUUCCAUCCUAACACCUAUUUGCAGGUGGGGGCAGGGAGGACUCCAACCUGAAAUGUUAUUUCAAACCCUUCCCUGGACUUACACCUCCAUUUCCAGGCCGCGUCACAUAGCACACAGCGUGUCCCGUUGCUUUGUAGUUUGAGCACCUUUCAAAGCAGGAAGAUGAGUCUGUUUCAGCUCUUCUCCUUCUGAUCUCAUACAUAAAAUAUCACUGCCUGAUGUGGUGCUUAAGUAAAUAGCUUCGCUGGGCACUGGCGGUCAUAGCCCUGAAAGGCCAGUUUGCCAGAGACAGCAAGCUCAGGACACUUCUCCCUGCCCUCCACAGACAGAGGUGAAACUGGUAUUUUUCAAAUGUUCCCUGCCUACCUUCUGCCAUC
rnacentral:lncRNA from 1 species